rnacentral:rRNA from 1 species
AAUCAACGCUGGCGGCGUGCCUAACACAUGCAAGUCGAACGCGAAAGCCCCGCAAGGGGUAAGUAGAGUGGCAAACGGGUGAGUAACACGUGGGUGACCUGCCUUCGAGUGGGGGAUAACGUCCCGAAAGGGACGCUAAUACCGUAUGACAUCCUGCUUUUGAAAAAGCGGAGAUCAAAGCUGGGGAUCGCAAGACCUAGCGCUUGAAGAGGGGCCCGCGCCUGAUUAGCUAGUUGGUGAGGUAACGGCUCACCAAGGCGACGAUCAGUAUCCGGCCUGAGAGGGCGGACGGACACACUGGGACUGAGACACGGCCCAGACUCCUACGGGAGGCAGCAGUGGGGAAUUGUUCGCAAUGGGCGCAAGCCUGACGACGCAACGCCGCGUGGAGGACGAAGAUCUUCGGGUCGUAAACUCCUGUCGAGCGGGACGAACGCUUCGCGGAUGAAUAAUCCGCGGAAUUGACGGUACCGCUAAAGGAAGCCCCGGCUAACUCCGUG